rnacentral:misc_RNA from 1 species
GAUGAAGAACGCAGCGAAAUGCGAUACGUAAUGUGAAUUGCAGAAUUCAGUGAAUCAUCGAGUCUUUGAACGCACAUUGCGCCCCCUGGUAUUCAGGGGGGCAUGCCUGUCCGAGCGUCAUUGCUGCCCUCAAGCACGGCUUGUGUGUUGGGCCUCCGUCCUCCUCCCGGGGGACGGGCCCGAAAGGCAGCGGCGGCACCGCGUCCGGUCCUCGAGCGUAUGGGGCUUCGUCACCCGCUCUUGUAGGCCCGGCCGGCGCUUGCCGACACAUCAAUCUUUUUUCCAGGUUGACCUCGAAUCAGGUAGGGAUACCCGCUGAACUUAAGCAUAUCAAUAAGCGGAGGA